rfam:TPA: Bos taurus chromosome 25, whole genome shotgun sequence.
UCCCUGGUGGUCCAGUGAUUAGGACUCUGAGCUCUUACUGCAGAGGGUGUGGGUUCGAUCCCUGGUCGGGGAA